AGGUAGCGCCUCGGACGAAUACUACUGGGGGUAGAGCACUGUUAAGGCUAGGGGGUCAUCCCGACUUACCAACCCUUUGCAAACUCCGAAUACCAGUAAGUACUAUCCGGGAGACACACGGCGGGUGCUAACGUCCGUCGUGGAGAGGGAAACAACCCAGACCGCCAGCUAAGGUCCCAAAUUACUACUAAGUGGGAAACGAUGUGGGAAGGCUCAGACAGCCAGGAUGUUGGCUUAGAAGCAGCCAUCAUUUAAAGAAAGCGUAAUAGCUCACUGGUCGAGUCGGCCUGCGCGGAAGAUGUAACGGGGCUAAGUAGUAAACCGAAGCUGCGGCAAUAUACUUUUGUAUAUUGGGUAGGGGAGCGUUCUGUAAGCGGUUGAAGGUGUGUGGUAACGCAUGCUGGACGUAUCAGAAGUGCGAAUGCUGACAUGAGUAACGAUAAAGGGGGUGAAAAACCUCCUCGCCGGAAGACCAAGGGUUCCUGUCCAACGUUAAUCGGGGCAGGGUAAGUCGACCCCUAAGGCGAGGCCGAAAGGCGUAGUCGAUGGGAAACGGGUUAAUAUUCCCGUACUUCUUACAAUUGCGAUGGGGGGACGGAGAAGGCUAGGUGGGCCUGGCGACGGUUGUCCAGGUUCAAGUGCGUAGGCUUAAGAGUUAGGUAAAUCCGGCUCUUUUUAAGGCUGAGACACGACGUCGAGCACCUACGGGUGUGAAGUCAUUGAUGCCAUGCUUCCAGGAAAAGCCUCUAAGCUUCAGAUUGUAAGGAAUCGUACCCCAAACCGACACAGGUGGUCGGGUAGAGAAUACCAAGGCGCUUGAGAGAACUCGGGUGAAGGAACUAGGCAAAAUGGUACCGUAACUUCGGGAGAAGGUACGCUCUCGACGGUGAAGUCCCUUGCGGAUGGAGCUAUUGAGAGUCGCAGAUACCAGGUGGCUGCAACUGUUUAUUAAAAACACAGCACUGUGCAAAAUCGUAAGAUGACGUAUACGGUGUGACGCCUGCCCGGUGCCGGAAGGUUAAUUGAUGGGGUUAGACUUCGGUCGAAGCUCUUGAUCGAAGCCCCGGUAAACGGCGGCCGUAACUAUAACGGUCCUAAGGUAGCGAAAUUCCUUGUCGGGUAAGUUCCGACCUGCACGAAUGGCGUAAUGAUGGCCACGCUGUCUCCACCCGAGACUCAGUGAAAUUGAAAUCGCUGUGAAGAUGCAGUGUACCCGCGGCUAGACGGAAAGACCCCGUGAACCUUUACUACAGCUUGGCACUGAACAUUGACCCUACAUGUGUAGGAUAGGUGGGAGGCUUUGAAGCACGUACGCCAGUAUGUGUGGAGCCGUCCUUGAAAUACCACCCUUGUAGUGUUGAUGUUCUAACGUCGACCCCUAAUCGGGGUUGCGGACAGUGCCUGGUGGGUAGUUUGACUGGGGCGGUCUCCUCCCAAAGAGUAACGGAGGAGCACGAAGGUGGGCUAAUCACGGUUGGACAUCGUGAGGUUAGUGCAAUGGCAUAAGCCCGCUUGACUGCGAGAAUGACAAUUCGAGCAGGUGCGAAAGCAGGUCAUAGUGAUCCGGUGGUUCUGAAUGGAAGGGCCAUCGCUCAACGGAUAAAAGGUACUCCGGGGAUAACAGGCUGAUACCGCCCAAGAGUUCAUAUCGACGGCGGUGUUUGGCACCUCGAUGUCGGCUCAUCACAUCCUGGGGCUGAAGUCGGUCCCAAGGGUAUGGCUGUUCGCCAUUUAAAGUGGUACGCGAGCUGGGUUUAGAACGUCGUGAGACAGUUCGGUCCCUAUCUGCCGUGGGCGUUGGAAGAUUGAAGGGGGCUGCUCCUAGUACGAGAGGACCGGAGUGGACGAACCUCUGGUGUUCGGGUUGUGUCGCCAGACGCAUUGCCCGGUAGCUAAGUUCGGAAUCGAUAACCGCUGAAAGCAUCUAAGCGGGAAGCGAGCCCUGAGAUGAGUCUUCCCUGAUACUUUAAGUAUCCUAAAGGGUUGUCGGAGACUACGACGUUGAUAGGUCAGGUGUGUAAGUGCUGUGAGGCAUUGAGCUAACUGAUACUAAUUGCCCGUGAGGCUUAACCAUACAACACCCAAGGGGUUU
rnacentral:rRNA from 1 species